rnacentral:tRNA from 1 species
GCCUGGGUGGCUCAGUGGUUGAGCAUCUGCCUUCAGCUUAGGUAUUGAUCCCGGGGUCCUGGGAUCGAGUCCCACAUCAGGCU